GACGAACGCUGGCGGCGUGCUUAACACAUGCAAGUCGAACGGCAAGGCCCUGCUUUUGUGGGGUGCUCGAGUGGCGAACGGGUGAGUAUCACGUGAGUAACCUGCCCUUGACUUUGGGAUAACUUCAGGAAACUGGGGCUAAUACAGGAUCGGAGCUCCUGCUGCAUGGUGGGGGUUGGAAAGUUUCGGCGGUUGGGGUUGGACUCGCGGCUUAUCGGCUUGUUGGUUGGGGAGUGGCUUACCAAGGCUUUGACGGGUAGCCGGCCUGGGAGGGGGGCCGGCCUCAUUGGGACUGAGAGACGGACCAGAGUCCUACGGGAGACAGCAGUGGGGAAUAUUGCACAGUGGGCGGAAGCCUGAUGCAGCAACGCCGCGUGCGGGAUGACGGCCUUCGGGUUGUAAACCGCUUUCGCCUGUGACGAAGCGUGAGUGACGGUAAUGGGUAAAGAAGCACCGGCUAACUACGUG
rnacentral:rRNA from 1 species